rnacentral:sRNA from 1 species
CUUCAUCAGGCUGAGUUUCACAGAGCGUGCAUGCUUCUGCAUUGCUCACCUCCAUUUUCCACAUUUCACGGGUGCCCAGAAGAUGUUUCUGAUGUGAACGAAUGAUUGACUGGUUGAUGUUUGUGAUUGCGGGGAAGGGGAAGGUAUCCUGCAGGGGAUGGUGGGAUUCUAAGAGGCCAGGGCAUCCUGGAGAUCGGGUAUCCGAGGCAGCAGGGCAGGCACUUGCAUGAGUUGUGUCAGAUGCACCAAGUCUGGGGUGCUGUACUUGGCAGAAUAAUUGCCCCAAAGGUGUCCAUGUCCUGACUCCUGGACCCUGUGAAUAAGUUGCCUCACAUGACAAAGGGGACUUUGCAGAAACAAUUAAGGAUCUUGAGAGGGAGAGAUGCACUGGAUUAUUUGAGUGGAUCUAACAUAACCACAGGGGCCCUUAGGAGAGGGAGGCUGGAGGGUCAGAGGAGAUGUAAUGAUAGAAGCAGCUGAUAGAGGAAGAAGCCAUAAGCCAAAUGUUUGGGGCAGCCUCUAGAAGCUGGAAAAGGCAAGGAAUGGAUUCUCCCUUGGAGCCUCCAAAAGGAACAUAGCCAUGCUGACACCUUCAUUUUAGCCCAGUGAGGCACAAACCAGACUUCUCAUCUCCAGAACCAUAAGGUAAUACAUUUGCAUUAAUCUGAGCCGCUGGCAUUGUGGCAAUUCACUAUAGCAGCAAUAGGAAACUAGUUAGUUAGGUGCCAAGGAGACAGUUGUGGGGUUAAUGACAUGAAAGUCAGUGAAUUCACCCUGUGUUUAACCUCAGGGGUGAAUGAAAUAAAUUAGUGCCACAGAAGACAAUGGGAAGAGGCUUUCCAGAGAACCCUGAGAAUCUCACAUUAUGUGAUCAGUGUGUUAGUUGGGACGCUUGGGUGUGACUGCUGCAAAGCCUUGCACAGAAUGGCUCAAGGGAGAAGGAGAAUUUAUUGGAAAAGUUCCAGGGUGCUCAAGCAUCAGGCAGGGCUGGACCCAGGAGCUCCAAUAGUGUCCUCCAGACUUGUCCUGUCCCUCAUUCUUACCUCUUCUGCCCUCCACUGGCUUCAUCAUGGGCAGGCUGUCUCCCUGUGUGGGAUUUCUCUUUCCCAAAUGUUCCAACUAAAGCCUUGUUGGCUCCAAUCAUCUGGCUAUAGGCUGUGUUCAUCCCAGAUCUAAUCACUGUGGCCAAGAGAAAGGGAUGGUCCAAUGUGCCAGCCUAAGUCAUCUUGUGGCCCACCUUGAUGGUGGGGGUGGAUUAGCAUUGUGGAAGCCUGUGGACCAUUUGGGGUCAUGUGAGGAAGGUUAGAAUGAAGGAGCCGUGGUUACAGGGGCCCUUGGGCCAGGUGGAGCUGUUGUUUUCUUAGGUGGAGGAGACUUGGUGACGUUCACCUCAAGAUGGCUGCAUUUCAUGGGUCCAGGGAAAGUCUCACCUUCCAUGAGGUGGGAGGAGAGAGGGAAGAAGGAAGAGGUGCCCAAAUAGGCAGCAUGCAGGGCUUGGAGGCCGGAAACAGGGGCUUUGACUCUAAGGAGGGGGCGUCAGUCAGCUGCCUCACAGGAGGGGCUGGGGCCCUCAGCAGCCCCUGGAAAGGGAAGGAGUGGGACCAGAGUCUCAGCAGUGAGGACACUGGUGCCCUGUGACCCUUGGAGGGUGAGCCAUCCCGGGCCCAUCCAGGUAUGGGCACUCGGGCACGUGCUGUGAGGGGAGCGGAGCUGGUGGGAAGGGAGGACAGGAGCAGAGGCUGUCAUGGAGCCACAGUACGAUGCAGGGGUGCGGUGGCCCCAUGGGUUGCAGAGAGGCCACCCUUGCCCUGCCUAAGGGUCCCCACACCUGCUGACCUCCUCUGGCUGGUGUCUCCUCCCAGUACUUCCUGCAGGACAACCUGCCGAGGGCACCACCUGCUGCCUCGAGGUCACUGCCCAGCAGGAGGAGAAGCAGGAGGAUGCAGCCAUCUGCCCAGUGACAGUGCUCCCUGAGGUAAGCGGGGAGUAUCACCCUGUUUUGGUCACAGCAUCUCCUGUGAGGCAGGCCCACCCCUGAGGCAUCCACUCUGCCCUGGGCUUUCCUAAGACCUCCCACAGGCUGGGACAUUCUGAGAUUCUGAGCUCUUAGGUCUGUGCUGAAGCAAUCUGAGUAUGAAGAGCAGCCCUGCCCUCCAGCCACUGUGGCAUCACUGGAGACAACGCAUGGUGACCCGGGAGCUGAGAAAGCAGGAGGCAAAAGGGAAGGGACUAAGUGUUUACAGAGACUUGAGAGGUGGAACUACCACAGGCAGGCACAUCUGUAUCCAGGUCAGAACAAGAGAGCCCUCAACCUUCAGAAAUGCAUACUUAGGUAUUUAUCUUUGGUAUCUGGGAUUUGCUUCAGAAUAACCCAGAGCUGGGGUGUGGGUGAAAAAGAUUGGUCCUGAUGCGCUGACCACUGGGGUAGUGGUAUGUAUGUGUCAUUGGACAGAACUGUUUGCACUGCAAAUGGCUUAUACUGGCUCAAGCGUAGAAGUCAAUUUAUUGGCUCUCAUGUAUUCUCUGGUAGGCUUCAGGCAAGGCUGCAUCCAGGUGCUCCCAGGUGAUGGGAAGAAUCUCUGGCCAACCUGUUUCAUGGCUCUGCUUUCUCCCCUUUCUUCUUCUUCUUCUUUUUUUUUUUUUUUUUUUUUGAGAUGGAAUUUCACUCUCGUUGCCCAGGCUGGAGUGCAAUGGCACGAUCUCAGCUCACUGCAACCUCUGCCUCCCAGGUUCAAGUGAUUCUCCUGUCUCAGCCUCCUGAGUAGCUGGGAUUACAGACAGCUGCCACUACACCCGGCUAAUUUUUGGUAUUUUUAAUAGAGACGGGGUUUCACCAUGUUGGCCAGGCUGGUCUCAAACUCCUGACCUCAGGUGAUCCACCCGCCUUGGCCUCCCAAUGUGCUGGGAUUAUAGGUGUGAGCCACUGUGCGUGGCCACUCCCCUUUCUUCUUAGGCAGAUUCUGCCCCAUGUAAGCAAAAUGCCUCAGAUCCUGGCAAAGCAGCGUUGGGGGUAUCUCUUCUUCCCAAAGUCCUGGUCAGUUCCCCAGAAAGGACCAGUCAUGGCUGUGCCAGGGUGACUGCCCUCCCCCAGGUCAGCCCUGUCGACAAAGGCAGGGGCUUGGUUGUCAUUUCCACCAAGUGGGAAGACAGUAUUAAUAGAUGGAGAACCCUCUUCAGUGGGAAGAUUUCAGCAAUGGGCAAGCUGGAUAGAGCCGUGGUUAGGAUGGAGUUGUUUGCUUGUUGCACUUGGAGCUCUUUAUGAAGCAAGGGCUCUGCCUCCCAGCCUGAGACCCAGACCCUGGUUUGGACCCAGUAGAACUCUUGUGGGCCCUGGGUUGGUGUCUCUGAGCAAAUCCCCAAAGCAGGAGAGUCCCUAGCACCGUGAGCUCUGUCAGAACCUCCCAGCUGGCCUUUCUUCUGCCCUCAUUGACAACCCUCUGACCCUCUUGCUGAGCAUAGACACAUAUGUGAUGUUACAGGAGCCAGUGACCUUCCAGGAUGUGGCUGUGGACUUCAGCCGGGAGGAGUGGGGGCUGCUGGGCCCGACACAGAGGACCGAGUACCGCGAUGUGAUGCUGGAGACCUUUGGGCACCUGGUCUCUGUGGGGUGGGAGACUACACUGGAAAAUAAAGAGUUAGCUCCAAAUUCUGACAUUCCUGAGGAAGAACCAGCCCCCAGCCUGAAAGUACAAGAAUCCUCAAGGGAUUGUGCCUUGUCCUCUGCAUUAGAAGAUACCUUGCAGGGUGGGGUCCAGGAAGUCCAAGACACAGUGUUGAAGCAGAUGGAGUCUGCUCAGGAAAAAGACCUUCCUCAGAAGAAGCACUUUGACAACCGUGAGUCCCAGGCAAACAGUGGCGCUCUUGACACAAACCAAGUUUCGCUCCAGAAAAUUGACAACCCUGAGUCCCAGGCAAACAGUGGCACUCUUGACACAAACCAAGUUUUGCUCCACAAAAUUCCUCCUAGAAAACGAUUGCGCAAACGUGACUCACAAGUUAAAAGCAUGAAACAUAAUUCACGUGUAAAAAUUCAUCAGAAGAGCUGUGAAAGGCAAAAGGCCAAGGAAGGCAAUGGUUGUAGGAAAACCUUCAGUCGGAGUACUAAACAGAUUACGUUUAUAAGAAUUCACAAGGGGAGCCAAGUUUGCCGAUGCAGUGAAUGUGGUAAAAUAUUCCGGAACCCAAGAUACUUUUCUGUGCAUAAGAAAAUCCAUACCGGAGAGAGGCCCUAUGUGUGUCAAGACUGUGGGAAAGGAUUUGUUCAGAGCUCUUCCCUCACACAGCAUCAGAGAGUUCAUUCUGGAGAGAGACCAUUUGAAUGUCAGGAGUGUGGGAGGACCUUCAACGAUCGCUCAGCCAUCUCCCAGCACCUGAGGACUCACACUGGCGCUAAGCCCUACAAGUGUCAGGACUGUGGAAAAGCCUUCCGCCAGAGCUCCCACCUCAUCAGACAUCAGAGGACUCACACCGGGGAGCGCCCAUAUGCAUGCAACAAAUGUGGAAAGGCCUUCACCCAGAGCUCACACCUUAUCGGGCACCAGAGAACCCACAAUAGGACAAAGCGAAAGAAGAAACAGCCUACCUCAUAGCUCUCAAGCCAGUUGAAGAAACCUUGCCUUUUCAGCUUGACCCUGCAAUAUAACAUGCACAGGCCUGCUUGUGAAUCAGGACUGAAUGUGAAAGGGAAGUAUUGAGUGAGGACAUUCCCAAAACCAAAGGACAACUGAGGAGACUGCCCAGCACAUAAUGAAUAAAUAAGAAAAUGAGUGAGGAGUUAUUAACAUCAGUUGGAAAAAAGAUUUCCCAUUCACUUGAUAUUGUUUGUUCACUCAUUUAGUCAUUAAAAGUGAGAUUAAUAAAAUCUGGAAA